rnacentral:rRNA from 1 species
GACAGAGGGGGCAAGCGUUGCUCGGAAUUACUGGGCGUAAAGGGCGCGUAGGCGGCUCGCUAAGUCGGAUGUGAAAGCCCUGGGCUUAACCCAGGAAGUGCAUUCGAAACUCCCGAACUGGAGUCCCGGAGAGGAAGGCGGAAUUCUCGGUGUAGAGGUGAAAUUCGUAGAUAUCGAGAGGAACAUCGGUGGCGAAGGCGGCCUUCUGGACGGUGACUGACGCUGAGACGCGAAAGCGUGGGGAGCAAACAGG